rnacentral:rRNA from 1 species
GACGAACGCUGGCGGCGUGCCUAAUACAUGCAAGUCGAACGCUGAAGGAGGAGCUUGCUCUUCUGGAUGAGUUGCGAACGGGUGAGUAACGCGUAGGUAACCUGCCUGGUAGCGGGGGAUAACUAUUGGAAACGAUAGCUCAUACCGCAUAAUAGUAGAUGUUGCAUGAUAUUUACUUAAAAGGUGCAAUUGCUCCACUACCAGAUGGACCUGCGUUGUAUUAGCUAGUUGGGGGGGUAACGGCUCACCAAGGCGACGUUACAUAGCCGACCAGAGAGGGUGAGCGGCCAAGCUGGGACGGGGACACGGCCCAGAAUCCUGCGGGAGGGAGCAGUAGGGGAUCUUCGGCAAUGGAAGAAAGGCUGAACGAGCAACGACGCGUGAGUGAAGAAGGUUGUCGGAUCGUAAAGCUCAGGUGUAAGAGAAGAACGAGUGUGAGAGAGGAAAGUGCAGACUGUGACGGUAUCUUACGAGAAAGGGACGGCUAACUACGUG